AUUGAACGCUGGCGGUAUGCUUUACACAUGCAAGUCGAACGGCAGCACGGGGCAACCUGGUGGCGAGUGGCGAACGGGUGAGUAACAUAUCGGAACAUGUCCGGAAGUGGGGGAUAACGUACCGAAAGGUACGCUAAUACCGCAUAUGCCCUGAGGGGGAAAGGGGGGAUCGCAAGACCUCUCGCUUUCGGAGUGGCCGAUAUCGGAUUAGCUAGUUGGUGAGGUAAAGGCUCACCAAGGCGACGAUCCGUAGCUGGUCUGAGAGGACGACCAGCCACACUGGAACUGAGACACGGUCCAGACUCCUACGGGAGGCUG
rnacentral:rRNA from 1 species